AUCAAUUAAACUGAUCUCCUAGUAAAAAAGCUAGAAUUUAACCAUAAGACCAGAAGACCCUGUGAAGCUUAAACUAAAAUAUUAAACCCUAUAAUAACUCCUUUCGGUUGGGGCGACCUUGGAAAAAAAAAGAACUUCCAACAAUACGAUUCCAUCGUACCACACUAUUUAGGCCAACAAGCCAAUUAAUGACCCAGCAAAGCUGAUAAUCGAACCAAGUUACUCCAGGGAUAACAGCGCAAUCCUCUUCAAGAGCCCAUAUCAAAAAGAGGGUUUACGACCUCGAUGUUGGAUCAGGACAUCCUAAUGGUGCAGAUGCUAUUAAGGGUUCGUUUGUUCAACGAUCAACAGUCCUACGUGAUCUGAGUUC
rnacentral:rRNA from 1 species